ACCAUGGGAGUCGGAAAUGCCCGAAGUCUGUGACCCAACCUUAGGGAGGGAGCAGCCGAAGGCAGGUCGGAUGACUGGGGUGAAGUCGUAACAAGGUACC
rnacentral:rRNA from 1 species